GUUAGCUGCCAUGUGAGUGCUGGGACUCGAACUGUGAUCAUCUGCAAGAGGAGUCAGUGCUUGUAACUGCUGAGCUGUCUUUCCAGCCCCUCCUGUGAAUUCUUUAAGUUCUCCUUCUAAGUAGCUGCUGCUUGGUGUCACUCACUUUUUCCCCUCCGGGUUUGGUAAUUUUUGUUAAUAGUCUGCCCCCUGAACGGAAACACUGUGAAGAUGCUUCCCUGUUGCUAUGACUACUGGUGCCCACCAUUGCAGGAGCUCAUAUGGAGGGUGCAUCUCCUUCUGCUGUCAGUCACUGCUGCUGAUGCUCACCACUGUCACUGGCUGGGCCAAGACAAAUGGAAACAUCUCCAGAAAAUGAGUUCUUGAUGAUCAGGCUGGCGACUUCCUCAUGUUGGGAAAGUUGCUUCAGUUCACCUCAUAGCAACUGUAAGCACGGACAAAGUAGUUCUUGUCUGCUGCAGCUGGGUUGGAGGAAUGGGGGAAGUCACAAGGCUUCUCGCCAUAUACAGACUCAACAUUCAAGUUUUCUGUUUUGUACCAAUGACUCAAGAGGUCUGGCCUGGGCCUGCUGAAAAAGAACUGAAUGAUAAAGACUUCAAUCAAUGGAGAGUUCAGAUUUAUCCAUGAACUAACAAGAGUGGCCUUGACUGUUUUCAUGAAGUAACGUGUGGAGCUUCAAAAAAGGCAAAGGGCUGCUGGUUUUCUCUUGAACUAGAAUACUUGAAUGUUGGACUCUAGAUCAGAGAUGACAGAGCUUCCAAAGACAGGUGUCCAGGAAUGCACGUACUCACUGUGAUGUUGCCUUCUGAAAAAUCAAGAAUCCUGGAAACAGAGAGAGCUCAGAGACAAAUGCUCAAGGGAUAAGCUCCCUUCCUUGAAGGAGUAAUCAGAAUUAGAAGGAGCCUCAUUUGGGGGCAUAGUCUUUAUUGGAGUAGUUGAAGAUAAAUGAAUGUAUUUCAUAAGUCAAAUAUUUAUGAUUUGGGGAAGGUAAAUUGGAGCAUGUAUUUUAUGUUGGGACACUUUCAGGGGGUGCAGAGCUGGCAUCUUGAAAUCAUCACGUUAAUAUUUGCAAAGCAAAAUGUUUGAGUGUCUGUACAAAGUUAGACAAUCAGAGAUGUAAGAAAAUUUCUAGUGAGAGUGGGUCAGGUUUUACCCAUAGAUCAAUCAAGCUCCCAACAGGUUUUGCUGCCAGAUGAGUUAUAUAAUGAAGUUUAGUUUUUAGACUUUGGGGAUUUUGAAUUCCAGAUGAAAGAGUCUGUGCAUCUGUAGCAUACCAAUUUGUUAGGCAUGGUGGGAGAAAUUGUUCACUACAGGAACUGAAACUGACUCUAGGAGAUUUUUUUUUUUGAGACAGAGUCUCCCUAUAGUACCAGCUGGCCUGGAACUCACUAUGCAGAACAGGCUGGCUUCUAUCUCACAGAGAUCCACCUACCUUUGCCUCCUGAGUGCUGGAAUUAAAGACGUGCAUCACCACACAUGCUCUAAAAGACUCUCAACCAAGGACCACAUGGAGUGAACCAGCAAAAGAUUCUUUUAACCUGCUUUCCAGGAUUCUGAUUCACAUCAAAAACCCCCGUUUAGAAGAAAUUUCCAAAGAAAAUCAUGAAAUUCCCUUUUCUGUGUAUUUAAGAAAAUGUUGAUUUUUCUUUAGAGUUUUAUGAACAGAUAAAUAUAUCAAUAGGACUUCUGUAUUUCCCAUACACAUAUAUGGCACGUGUGGGUCUCUUCCACUGGACUGUGUGCUCCAGGGAAAUACAGACCUCAUCCUUUUCUCUCAUCCUUGUAUCUGGGGUGUAGGAAGUGCUCAGUAAAGGUUUCCUGAGAAGAAAAACAGUAGCAUGAAUUACAGACUGUAAAGGAGGUGGGCUUUGAGAAGAGGUGUACUGGUGACUACUGUACCACUGAUCACCAGUGAAAAAAAGCAUUUGUGUUAUUUUACUCAUCCGGAGGGUUUAUAGGACAGAUUUACAAAACAUGAUAAAAUAUGCAACGUCAUUUUAAAAUUGUCAAUUGAUUCUCUCAGAAUGCUGCUUUAGGGAGGGAGUAGGCAUGGAUUUGAUCAAAACACGUUAUAUGCAUGUAUGAAAUUCUCAAUAAAGUUUCUGUAAAAGUUAAAGAUAAUUUUAAC